UGGGGAAUAUUGCACAAUGGGGGAAACCCUGAUGCAGCGACGCCGCGUGAAGGAAGAAGUAUCUCGGUAUGUAAACUUCUAUCAGCAGGGAAGAUAGUGACGGUACCUGACUAAGAAGCCCCGGCUAACUACGUGCCAGGAGCCGCGGUAAUACGUAGGGGGCAAGCGUUAUCCGGAUUUACUGGGUGUAAAGGGAGCGUAGACGGUGUGGCAAGUCUGAUGUGAAAGGCAUGGGCUCAACCUGUGGACUGCAUUGGAAACUGUCAUACUUGAGUGCCGGAGGGGUAAGCGGAAUUCCUAGUGUAGCGGUGAAAUGCGUAGAUAUUAGGAGGAACACCAGUGGCGAAGGCGGCUUACUGGACGGUAACUGACGUUGAGGCUCGAAAGCGUGGGGAGCAAACAGG
rnacentral:rRNA from 1 species